CGCAAGCUAUGAAUGCCUGGCUUUGCUGACCUAAGGAGAGCUAACUACACUGCUAUGACGUGGUAGAAACAUAAGCAAAGGUAGAAGAAACUGCUGGGAUAGUGGGAAGAAGCUGGUAGCUGCUACCAGGAAGAAAAACACAUGUGAAGACAGUAAAACAGACCUAGGCUGGAACCAGCAGCAAGAGAAGUAGUUUUUUUGGAGCCGUGACUGAAAGCUGAAACAUUAUAGACUCCUAAGAACCUUUGAUAGCAGUACAUGAUCUCAUAGUAACCUGCAGAAGGCAACUGGAUAACGCUUUGGACUGGAUAACAACAGUUUCUAGCCUGAAUGAUUUACCCAUGCUAAUGAAGAUGGAAAUGGGCUUUCACAUCCAGCUCUUACAGGGUUUUCCUGUAUGUUGUCUAAAAUGGAUUUUCAUUUUAUCACCGAUGGCAGGAAAUUACCCGGCUCAUAACCAGGAUGGAAUAAACCUACCUAAUCCAGAGCUUGCACAAGACUAAAUCAAGCCAAAAGAAAACAUCUGGAGAUGUCAAAAUGUGGAUGAAUGGAAGUCUCAGCUGGAUUGUUCCAUACAGUUUUGGAUACCAUACUUCAGAAAUAUGUGGUCCAAAUGGAUGUACUCUGCAGAGAUUAAAAAGAAUAACUGGAAACUGUGAUCAGCAAGGAAAACAAAAGCAGAAUUAGGUUUAUUUAGUCUGAAAAAGAGAACUCCAAAGGAAGGCAGAAGAAAUAUUCCUUAGGUAUGCAAGCGCUUGCUGGGAAAUAAUAGCUUGUUGUCAGAGCAUUCACAGUGCGUAAGACAAAAGAUAAUGGAUCCAAACUGCAGUAAAGGAGAUUCAUGGUCAAAUCAAGGGGUAAAGUAUGAAAGGGUACCCUAGCACUGAAUUAUAUUGCCUGAGAAAGCUGUAAAUAUCCAUCAUUAAGGGAGAUAGUUGCUGUUGUUUCAGGCAAGUAUUUCUCAGUUAUGUCUAGACGUGGGUUAAAAGGAGAAAGUAAGCUGACUUCUGAGAAUGCUUCCAGCCAUAUUUUUUUAUAAUAUGUUUUGGAAGCAAGGAAGGAGGAAAGUAGUAGAGUUUGGAGGUGAAACCUGAAGAAACAUCCAAAGAUUAUGCUCUUUCACAUUAUUCUUUAAUUGGCAAAUACCACAUAUAAAAAAUAAAGGAAUUAUUUGUAUCUUCCCUGAUACA
rnacentral:lncRNA from 1 species